rnacentral:rRNA from 1 species
GAUGAACGCUAGCUACAGGCUUAACACAUGCAAGUCGAGGGACCGGCGCACGGGUGAGUCACACGUAUCCAACCUGCACUUUACUCGGGGAUAGCCUUUCGAAAGGAAGAUUACUACCCGAUGUAAAGGAUGGGGAUGCGUUCCAUUAGUUUGUUGGUGAGGUAACGGCUCACCAAGCAUUCGAUGGAUAGGGGUUCUGAGAGGAAGGUCCACCAGAUUGGAACGGAGACACGGUCCAAACUCCUACGGGAGGCAGCAGUGAGGAAUAUUGGUCAAUGGGCGUUAGCCUGAACCAGCCAAGUAGCGUGAAGGAUGAAGGGUUAUGGGUCGUAAACUUCUUUGAUAUAAGAAUAUGUAUUAUAUGAAUAAGGAUCGGCUAACUCCGUGCCAGCAGCCGCGGUAAUAC